AAAAAACUAAUUAAAUUUAUAAUUUUUAAAAGUUUUUCUAGCUUUGAAAUUUAUAUUUUUUUAUAAUAUAUAUAAAUUUUUGUAUAAAAUAUUAAUAAUUUAAAUUUUUAUUAUUAUAUAUAAUAUUAAAUAUUAAAAAUUAAAGUAAUUUAGAUUUAGUAAAAAUAAUAUUAUUAAUAAAAUUUGUGCCAGCAAUUGCGGUUAUACAAAUAAUAAAAUAAAUAUUAUAUUUAAUUAAUUAAUAGUUUAUUUUUAUUAAAAAUAAUUUUAUAACGGUAAAAUUUUAAUUAAUUAAAAUUAAUAAUUAUAUAAAAAUAUGAAAUUAAAUAAAUUUAAUUAAAAACUAGGAUUAGAUACCCUAUUAUUUUAUUCAAAUUAUAUAAUUAAUAAUAAGUAAUUAUUUAUUUUUUAAAAUUUAAAGAAAUUGGCAGUAUUUUAAUCUAUUUAGAGGAAUCUGUUUAAUAAUUGAUAUUCCACGAUUAAUUUUACUUUAUUUAUAAAAUUUAUAUAUUGUUGUUAUAAAAUUUAUUUAAAAAUAAAAAAUUUUAAAAUUAUUAUAAAAAUUAUAUCAAAUCAAAAUGUAGUAUACAAUAAAGAAUAUUAUGGAUUAUAAUAAAUUAAUUUUUUAGAUAAUAUAAUUAAAAUUGUAUUUGAAUUUAGAUUUAAAUGUAAUUAAAAAUAGUUAUUUUUAAUGAUUUAGUUUUAAAAUAUGCACAUAUUGCCCGUCACUUCCAUAAAAUUGGAAUAAGUCGUAACAAAGUAAGAGUAUUGGAAAAUGUUCUUAGAAAGAC
rnacentral:ncRNA from 1 species